UACGUAGGGGGCAAGCGUUGUCCGGAUUUAUUGGGCGUAAAGAGCGUGUAGGCGGCUUGGUAGGUCUCGCGUCAAAACCUGAGGCUCAACCUCAGUUCGCGUGGGAAACCACCUAGCUAGAGUCCGGAAGAGGAGAACGGAAUUCCCAGUGUAGCGGUGAAAUGCGCAGAUAUUGGGAAGAACACCAGUGGCGAAGGCGGUUCUCUGGGACGGUACUGACGCUGAGACGCGAAAGCGUGGGAGCGAACAGG
rnacentral:rRNA from 1 species